GGAAAAAAGGGGUUGGGGUGGGGAGGAGACAAGGUUUUCUUACGCCCCCCGGCUAUUGUGGGGGGGNUUGUUCCCUUUUCUUGCUCUUCUUUUUCUUCUCAUUCUCAUCUUUUUCCUGCUUUUCCACGUGUGUUUGGAGAGUGGAGGGGGAAGUGUGUGUGUUUGGAGGUAGAAGGUGCAAUGGGAGAAAUAUGGUGAGGCUUGUGUGNGUACGCAGGUGUGUUGGUCACGGCUCUCACAACAUUCACGAUA
rnacentral:rRNA from 1 species